UGCUGAGGACAGAAGAGAGCUGCUCACUGAGGAAGUUCAUGUCUACAAGGUGAAGCUGUGAACCACCUUCACACUUCCCCAAUAUUUACAGAUUCAUCCAACUUGUGUCCACAAAGAGGACGCUGACUUCAUCAGAGAUGGAGAAAGU